rnacentral:rRNA from 1 species
GUAGGGUGCAAGGCGUUGUCCGGAAUUAUUGGGCGUAAAGAGCUCGUAGGCGGUCUGUCGCGUCGGCUGUGAAAACCCGGAGCUCAACUCCGGGGCCUGCAGUCGAUACGGGCAGACUGGAGUUCGGCAGGGGAGAACUCGGAAUUCCUGGUGUAGCGGGUGAAAAUGCGCAGAUAUCAGGAGGAACACCGGUGGCGAAGGCGGGUCUCUGGGCCGUUACUGACGCUGGAGGAGCGAAAGCGUGGGGAGCGAACAGG